rnacentral:rRNA from 1 species
UGGGGAAUAUUGGACAAUGGGCGAAAGCCUGAUCCAGCCAUGCCGCGUGUGUGAAGAAGGUCUUCGGAUUGUAAAGCACUUUAAGUUGGGAGGAAGGGCAGUAAGCGAAUACCUUGCUGUUUUGACGUUACCGACAGAAUAAGCACCGGCUAACUCUGUGCCAGCAGCCGCGGUAAUACAGAGGGUGCAAGCGUUAAUCGGAAUUACUGGGCGUAAAGCGUGCGUAGGCGGCUAAUUGAGUCGGAUGUGAAAUCCCCGGGCUUAACUUGGGAAUUGCAUUCGAUACUGGUUAGCUAGAGUGUGGGAGAGGAUGGUAGAAUUCCAGGUGUAGCGGUGAAAUGCGUAGAGAUCUGGAGGAAUACCGAUGGCGAAGGCAGCCAUCUGGCCUAACACUGACGCUGAGGUACGAAAGCAUGGGGAGCAAACAGG